ACUCCAUGGAAAGAAUUGUCAAUGCUAUGGAAGAGAACUCUGAUAGGGAGAAGAUUAUGAAAGUCUGGAAAGGUUAUACCAUUAGAGAUGCCAUCCCUGUUAUAAAAAAGCUGUGAAAGCCAUCAAAGCCUGAAACAAUAAAUUCCUGCUAGAGAAAACUGUGUCCAGAUGUUGUACAUGACUUCAUAGGACUUACAAGAGAAUCUAUCAAGAAGAUCAUGAAAGAGAUUGUGGAUAUGGCAAAAAAGGUGAGAGGUGAAGGGUUUCAAGAUAUGGAUCUUGGAGAAAUUCAAGAGCUAACAGACACCACACCAGAGGAAUGAACAGAAGACAAUUUGAUGGAGAUGAAUACUUCUAAACCAGUUCCAGACAAUGAAGAAGAUGUAGAAGCAGUGCCAGAAAACAAAUUGACAUUAGACAAUCUGGCAGAAGGGUUCUGAUUAUUCAAGACUCCUUUUGACUCCUUUUACAACAUAGAGUCUUCUAUGAAACAGGCGCUGAAACUAAAGCAAAUGGCAGAAGAAUUGGUAUUAUAUAGAAACAUUUUUAGAGUAAUGAAAAAAACAGAGUCAGAAAUUAUCUUGUAUUUCUUUAAAGUUACACCCAGUGUGCCUACUGCCCCUGCUUCCCCUUCUACCUCUUCCACUUCUACCUCUGCUGCUGGGGAUGCAGCAAGAUGGACCCCUCCUCUUCCUCCUCCUCCUCAGCUUACUUAACAUGAAAAUGACAAGGAUGAAGAUCUUGAUGAUGAUCCACUUUUACUUAAUGAAUAGUAAAUAAUCAUGCCAUACAGUUAAUAAACUUACCUAUUAUGUAUGCAUAUGUCUUCAUGUGAAAAAACUAGCAUCUGUAUAGCAAGAACUGUAAGAGACAUUUUUGUAUUGUCAUCAUCACCUAAGUAUCAUUCAUCAUGUAAAACAUUGUGUACAAGACUUGUAUGGAAAUGGAUAGCCUACCCUUACACAGACACAAGUCCUCUAGGAUUCUCUGAGAUCAGUUUUAAUGGACUGGAGCAAAAAGAGAGGAAAAGAUGACUUUACACUUGUGAAUACCAAAUAUGAGUACUCAGCUUUUUUGCCUUCCAGCAGCAAUUCCUCUUUUGUCAUCUAGGAUUCCAUGAAAAUGAUUCAAACAGUAUUUCUACACAAGGGUGAGAAGCAGGAACUCAUGAAUGAGAGGAAGUUUUGACAAUGAAAGUUUGUUUCCAGGAAUCACCUGAGAACCGCAUGGAACAGCCUGGGAUUUAUUCUUCCUUCUAAAUUAAGCUUAUCCAGAUGAUCACUUUAAUUCUCAUCAAUGAAAACACAGCCAAAGAAGAAAAUCAACUAAAGAGUCAUUCUCUUAGUCAUAAAUUCAUCCACGCUUUUAGCAGACUAAAUUGAAAUAGGACAGAAAAGACUUUUAGCAGACUAAAUUGAAAUAGGACAGAAAAGAUUUUUAGAGCUAUAGUCAAGUUCUUUACUCAGGCAAAGUAUCAGAUAAUCUCCAACAAUAUCAAAAACUCGAUUUAUAUAAAAGAGAAGAAUCACAGAAUCAGCUUGAAGGACAUUGGAGUGAUAAUAUAAUCUAGUCUAGCCUCAUAUCAUGGAUGGAAAAUUCAAAUACAUAUAGGAACCAUACAUAAUAAUAUAUCUCCUUAUAUAUGACCUAUUUCACUGAAUGAAUAAGCCCAAGGAUAAAAUGACAGGCAGGUAAAACGGGAAAUGUAUGCCCAGAAAAUACAAAGAUAUUGGCAUGAGGAAUGUGGGCACAGCGUAACCAAAUCUUUUGGUUUUUCAAGAGAAGCUGAUAACCCAAAUUUCUAUGUGAACAUGUGAGUAUGAGUGUAUAAACUCCCAUGUUUCUAAUUUUGGCACAAAGAGGUUU